rnacentral:rRNA from 1 species
GUGUACGCAUAUAUAGCAAAUCCUAUAAAACACAUUCGUUUUGCUUCAUGCAGAGCAGCAACGAAGUGAGAUCGAGAGAAAAAGGAAGGUUGGGGUGCUGACCAUUGGUGUCGGCGGAAGAAUUGCAAGCAGAGCCGGGGAGCAGAAUCAGAGGAGCGGCGGCGCGUUGGGUCCCUGGGCGGCGGCGGGGCGCAGGAAGCAAGUACCGACGGCGGUGAUUCCUGGGAGAAGGGGGCGUCAGUUCGGUGGCAG